rnacentral:lncRNA from 1 species
GCAAAACAAAGCACUGGAUAUAAUUCGAUACCACUCACGAUGAAAACUCAUCACACUUUAAAUAAAAGGAAAAUUCCAGAAGUUUUAGAAACUGCAAUAAAGCAAAGUAAAUAAAACCAGACUCUGAAGGAAAAUAUAAAGCUGUGUCCAGCACAACUGUCUAUAUAGAAACAUUCUAUCAAAAAGCUCCUACAAGAUACAAAUUGCUGUAAUCUGAUCAUCGGAUACAAGAUCUACAGGAAGAUCAACUGUAUUCAUUCAAGAAAACAGAAGGAGGGAAAGUAAAGACAUGGAAAACAUUCAUUAGCCAUUUUGAACAUAGAAAUGAAAACCUCAGUGAGAAAUCAAUCCACAUCCACCAGAGUGACUGAAAUAAAGACACUAAAAAAAAAAAAAAAAAAAACAAAUUUUGGCAAAAAGGCAGAGAAACUGGGUCACUUUACAUAUUGUUGUUGGAAAUGUAAAGUUAUAGAGCAACUUUAAAAAUAGAUUUGUCACUUUCUUAAACAAUUACACAUAGUCCCAAAAGUGGCUCUCCUUGGCAUUUAUGCUGGAAAAAUGGAAACAGUUCCAAAAUAUCCCUAAUCACAUAUGUCACAGCUUGAUUCAAAAGCACCCACAAAACUAAAGACACCCCCAAUGUACUUUCAGGGGUGGCCAAUGAAGGGCUCCAUGUCCAUGCCAUGGAACACCACGGAGUAAUAACAUGGACAAACGUACUGACAGAUACAGCAACUUGCAUGGAGAUUGAUGCUGGAUGAACAGAGCUGAUCCACAAAAUUUUCACAAUGUGUAGUUCAUGAACACAAUGUUGUUCAAAUGAGAAUAUUAUGGGUGGCCCCCAUCUUCCUGAGUACCUGGAAUUCCAGGCAUGCAACACUGUGUACAGCUUUUAGAAACAAUUUAAGGAGGAAAUAAUACUAGUUUACACAAAGUUUUAUAGAAAUCUAGAAAGGACAGAAUGAGGAAUGCUUAUGAUAUAACCCUGUAUCUUGACUGGUAAUCUGCACAUGAAUCUGCACUCAUGAUAAAGCUUCAGAAGCAUUCACACAUACCAGUAUAUGUAACACUGGUGAAUCUGAGCAAGCUUAAGCUGCACUACCUGAGACCAA